GUUGUAACCAGGCCAGAUCUCAGUUUCCUUUCAGGUCUUGUUGUUAGCAUAGCAGAUAUGGAUAGUUAUUUUGUAAAGCCAUGCAGCUCUGCAUAUGAGACCCACUAGCUUUACCCACCCAUGGAAUACUAUUUAGAACACAUCAAUAGGGUCCUUUAUUACCCUCACCCUUCUGCACCCCUGCAACAGAGCUCCCUUCCAGAGGUUUGUGUGGGUUCAAAUUUCAUCAUCUUUUAGAAGACAAAUGCUGUUGCUUGUAGGCAGCGUUUCAAGACUGGUAAAACCACAGAGAUGAGUUGGGGGACUUGUUGACCGGGAUCAUUGAUAGCCAGCAACCCCUGGAAGAUGAUCACCAUAGCUUGGAAGGGAUGAAGGUCAGCCCACUACAUCUGCAGCAGCCAGGAGGGAAGAUUAUGUCACUAACCAGGGCCAGAGGACAAAGACAAGGCUGAGCAUGCAUGAGAAAACUGGCCAUGGAAUUUCAUGAGCGUAGUCUAAUCUAUUUAAAAGAAGAGCAUGAAAUGAAGAGGCAAAUCCUUCAUGUUGAGUAGGCUAUGGCGUGAAGCAGCAGCAGGAGCAGUACCAAUGUUUUUCAAUGUACCGAUGUUCUUCAAGAACCAGCACCAGUUCGGGG
rnacentral:lncRNA from 1 species